AGUGAACGCUGGCGGUAGGCCUAACACAUGCAAGUAGAACGGCAGCACAGUAAGAGCUUGCUCUUACGGGUGGCGAGUGGCGGACGGGUGAGGAAUACAUCGGAAUCUACUUUUUCGUGGGGGAUAACGUAGGGAAACUUACGCUAAUACCGCAUACGACCUACGGGUGAAAGCAUGGGAUCUUCGGACCUUGCGCGAUUGAAUGAGCCGAUGUCGGAUUAGCUAGUUGGCGGGGUAAAGGCCCACCAAGGCGACGAUCCGUAGCUGGUCUGAGAGGAUGAUCAGCCACACUGGAACUGAGACACGGUCCAGACUCCUACGGGAGGCAGCAGUGGGGAAUAUUGGACAAUGGGCGCAAGCCUGAUCCAGCCAUACCGCGUGGGUGAAGAAGGCCUUCGGGUUGUAAAGCCCUUUUGUUGGGAAAGAAAAGCAGCAGGUUAAUACCCCGCUGUUCUGACGGUACCCAAAGAAUAAGCACCGGCUAACUUCGUG
rnacentral:rRNA from 1 species